CUACGGGGUGCUGCAGUGAGGAAUAUUGCACAAUGGGGGGAACCCUGAUGCAGCAACGCCGCGUGGAGGAUGACGCAUUUCGGUGUGUAAACUCCUUUUAUAUGUCAAGAAAAUGACGGUAGCAUAUGAAUAAGCACCGGCUAACUCCGCGCCAGCAGCCGCGGUAAUACGGAGGGUGCAAGCGUUACUCGGAAUCACUGGGCGUAAAGGACGCGUAGGCGGGUUGGAAAGUCAGGUGUGAAAUCCUACAGCUUAACUGUAGAACUGCACUUGAAACUUCUAAUCUAGAGUAUGGGAGGGGGAGAUGGAAUUAGUGGUGUAGGGGUAAAAUCCGUAGAUAUCACUAGGAACACCUAAAGCGAAGGCGAUCUCCUGGAACAUUACUGACGCUAAGGCGUGAAAGCGUGGGGAGCAAACAGGAUUAGAUACCCUCGUAGUC
rnacentral:rRNA from 1 species